rnacentral:ncRNA from 1 species
GAUCCACUUUAUUCUGAUGGAUUGUUAAAAAAUUUUUGGGGUGGUUAUGGCUUUUUAAGACAGUAGCCAGCCAACAAUAUUAAUUUAUAAUAUAACUAUUAAUUAGCUUUAAAAACUAAAGUGGCCAAGUUAGUGCCAGCAGCCGCGGUCAAACUAAAACUUCUUUUUAAUUUUUAAAAAUGUUAUAACCUAAAAUUUUUUCUAAUGGUGAAAUAUAGAAACUAAUAACUCCCACGCAACGUGCCCUACAGAAAUUAAGAUAAAAAACUAGGAUUAGAUACCCUACUAUUCUUAACCUAAAACUAUUUUUAAAGCACUAAUAUUAAAUUAAUAAAAACUUAAAGAUUAUGGCGGUUGAAUUUAAUUUCAGGGGAACUUACCUAAUAAUAGAUAACCACCAAGAAAUUCUUCUUAUAUUUAAAGCUUGUAUACCGUCGUUAUCAGAGCAUAUAUAAAAUAAGUUCAAAAUAAUAUUUAUUAAAAUAACAGAUCAUGGUGCAGCUAAUAUAUAAGUUCAAGGCGAGUUAUAAUAACAAUUUUCUUAUAAUAAUUUUUUAACUAAAAAAUUUGAAGUUGACUUGAAAGUAAUUUUUAAAAUUUUUAAAAAAUGAAUAUACAAAAUUCAGUGCACAAAUCGCCCGUCACUCUCUUUAGUAUAAAUGAGAUAAGUCGUAACAUAGUAGAAGUAGCUGAAGCUGUUUCUGUUUUAGU